CCCUUGUACACACCGCCCGUCACACCAUGGGAGUUGGCUUUACCCGAAGACGGUGCGCUAACCGCAAGGAGGCAGCCGGCCACGGUAAGGUCAGCGACUGGGGUG
rnacentral:rRNA from 1 species